rnacentral:rRNA from 1 species
GAUUAGCUAGACGGUGGGGUAACGGCCUACCGUGGCGAUGAUCGGUAGCUGGUCUGAGAGGACGACCAGCCACACGGGGACUGAGACACGGCCCCGACUCCUACGGGAGGCAGCAGCAAGGAAUCUUCCGCAAUGGGCGAAAGCCUGACGGAGCAACGCCGCGUGCGGGAUGACGCCUUUCGGGGUGUAAACCGCUUUCUCAGGGAGAAGCACUGACGGUACCUGAGGAAGAAGGACCGGCUAACUACGUGCCAGCAGCCGCGGUAAUACGUAGGGUCCGAGCGUGUCCGGAGUUACUGGGCGUAAAGACGCGCGCAGGCGGCGGUGUAAGCAUGGCGUGAAAGCCCCGGCUCAACCGGGGAGGGUCGUCGUGGACUGCACCGCUUGAGGGCGGUAGGGGCUGGUGGAAUGCCUGGUGUAGUGGUGAAAUGCGUAGAGAUCAGGCGGAACACCCGUGGCGAAGGCGGCCAGCUGGGCCGACCCUGACGCUGAGCGCGAAGGCGUGGGGAGCGAACGGGA